rnacentral:rRNA from 1 species
UAGAGUUUGAUCAUGGCUCAGAUUGAACGCUGGCGGCAUGCCUAACACAUGCAAGUCGAACGGCAGCAUGAGGUGUAGCAAUACACCUUGAUGGCGAGUGGCGGACGGGUGAGGAAUGCAUCGGAAUCUGCCCAGUCGUGGGGGAUAACCCGGGGAAACCCGGACUAAUACCGCAUACGACCCCGCACCGAUAGGUGCGGAGUGAAAGCGGGGGACCCUUCGGGGCCUCGCGCGACUGGAUGAGCCGAUGCCGGAUUAGCUUGUUGGCGGGGUAAUGGCCCACCAAGGCGACGAUCCGUAGCUGGUCUGAGAGGAUGAUCAGCCACACUGGGACUGAGACACGGCCCAGACUCCUACGGGAGGCAGCAGUGGGGAAUAUUGGACAAUGGGGGCAACCCUGAUCCAGCAAUGCCGCGUGUGUGAAGAAGGCCUUCGGGUUGUAAAGCACUUUUAUCGGGAACGAAACAUUGUCGGCCAAUACCCGGCAAGACUGACGGUACCCGAGGAAUAAGCACCGGCUAACUCCGUGCCAGCAGCCGCGGUACGCC